GAUGAAGAACGUAGCGAAAUGCGAUAAGUAGUGUGAAUUGCAGAAUUCAGUGAAUCAUCGAAUCUUUGAACGCACAUUGCGCCCCUUGGUAUUCCAUGGGGCAUGCCUGUUCGAGCGUCAUUUGUACCUUCAAGCUUUGCUUGGUGUUGGGUGUUUGUCUCGCCUUUGCGUGUAGACUCGCCUUAAAAUAAUUGGCAGCCGGCGUAUUGAUUUCGGAGCGCAGUACAUCUCGCGCUUUGCACUCAUAACGACAGCGUCCAAAAGUACAUUUUACACUCUUGACCUCGGAUCAGCUAGGGAUACCCGCUGAACUUAAGCAUAUCAAUAAGCGGAGGA
rnacentral:misc_RNA from 1 species